UACGUAGGGGGCAAGCGUUGUCCGGAAUCAUUGGGCGUAAAGCGCGCGUAGGCGGCCCGGUAAGUCCGCUCUGAAAGUCCAGGGCUCAACCCUGGAAAGCGGGUGGAUACUGCCGGGCUAGAAUCCGGAAGAGGCGAGUGGAAUUCCGGGUGUAGCGGUGGAAUGCGUAGAGAUCCGGAAGAACACCGGUGGCGAAGGCGGCCUGCUGGGACGUGGCUGACGCUGAGGCGCGACAGCGUGGGGAUCAAACAGG
rnacentral:rRNA from 1 species